rnacentral:rRNA from 1 species
CCCUUAGAUGUUCGGGGCCGCACGCGCGCUACACUGAAGGAAUCAGCACGUCUUUCUCCUUGUCCGAAAGGACUGGGUAACCCGCUGAACCUCCUUCGUGCUAGGGAUUGGGGCUUGUAAUUCUUCCCCAUGAACGAGGAAUUCCCAGUAAGCGCGAGUCAUAAGCUCGCGUUGAUUACGUCCCUGCCCUUUGUACACACCGCCCGUCGCUACUACCGAUUGGAUGGUUUAGUGAGAUCCUCGGAUUGGUCCCGGAGCGGCCUCUGGUCGUGCCGGAGUGCCGAAAAGAAUGUCGAACUUGAUCAUCUAGAGGAAGUAAAAGUCGCAACA